UCUGAUUCAUGUGAUCCCUCCAAGCCCUC
rnacentral:piRNA from 1 species